AUUGAACGCUGGCGGCAGGCCUAACACAUGCAAGUCGAACGAGCGGCGGACGGGUGAGUAAUAUGUGGGGGAUUCCCGUUAGCGGGGGAUAACUACUGGGAACGGUAGCUCAUACCCCGUACUACAUGAUAACCCAUAGGGGAUUAGCUAGUAGGUGGGGUAAUGGCUCACCUAGGCGACGAUCCCUCGCUGGUCUGAGAGGGUGAUCAGCCACACGGGAACUGAGACACGGCCCAGACUCCUACGGAGGCAGCAGUGGGGAAUAUUGCACAAUGGGCGCAAGCCUGAUGCAGCCAUGCCGCGUGUAUGAAGAAGGCCCUAGGGUGGUAAAGUACUUUCAGUGGGGAGGCGUUACCGACAGAAGAAGCACCGGCUAACUCCGUGCCAGCAGCCGCGGUAAUAC
rnacentral:rRNA from 1 species